rnacentral:rRNA from 1 species
AUGGCGAGCAGAGGGCGUGAGUACCAGAGUUUGGAUGUGGAUGUUACUUCAGGGAGGAAGUUGGUUACAAUUUUCAUUUGUAUGAUGCAGCAGUCACAAACUAAUUUACAUAAUUUGUUGGUGUUGCGGUCUCUCCCCAUCUUAACAUUGUCUUCCGCUGCAAGGAGAGGAAAUUUGUGUAUAUCACACCUAUCAGCUACAUCCCAUGGAGAGGAAUUUUGUGUCAGGCAUUGUCAUUGGAGAAGCUUUCACAGGCAUGGCCCUUCUUUCAGUUAUAAGAUUUACAGAUAUACUGAUUCUAAAAGAUUUGAUUCACAGGUUAGUUCUAAUGGAGCGACACGUAUUGUGUUUGUGGUCUUCCAGUUUGCCUUUCUUCCAUGCAUCUGA